ACUCCUACGGGAGGCAGCAGUGGGGAAUUUUGGACAAUGGGCGAAAGCCUGAUCCAGCAAUGCCGCGUGAGUGAAGAAGGCCUUCGGGUUGUAAAGCUCUUUUGUCAGGGAAGAAACGGUGAAAGCUAAUAUCUUUUGCUAAUGACGGUACCUGAAGAAUAAGCACCGGCUAACUACGUGCCAGCAGCCGCGGUAAUACGUAGGGUGCAAGCGUUAAUCGGAAUUACUGGGCGUAAAGCGUGCGCAGGCGGUUUUGUAAGUCUGAUGUGAAAUCCCCGGGCUCAACCUGGGAAUUGCAUUGGAGACUGCAAGGCUAGAAUCUGGCAGAGGUGGGUAGAAUUCCACGUGUAGCAGUGAAAUGCGUAGAUAUGUGGAGGAACACCGAUGGCGAAGGCAGCCCCCUGGGUCAAGAUUGACGCUCAUGCACGAAAGCGUGGGGAGCAAACAGGAUUAGAUACCCGGGUAGUCCC
rnacentral:rRNA from 1 species